rnacentral:rRNA from 1 species
GACGAACGCUGGCGGCGUGCUUAACACAUGCAAGUCGAACGGAAAGGCCCUGCUUUUGUGGGGUGCUCGAGUGGCGAACGGGUGAGUAACACGUGAGUAACCUGCCCUUGACUUUGGGAUAACUUCAGGAAACUGGGGCUAAUACCGGAUAGGAGCUCCUGCUGCAUGUUGGGGGUUGGAAAGUUUCGGCGGUUGGGGAUGGACUCGCGGCUUAUCAGCUUGUUGGUGGGGUAGUGGCUUACCAAGGCUUUGACGGGUAGCCGGCCUGAGAGGGGGACCGGCCACAAUGGGACUGAGAUACGGCCCAGAAUCCUACGGGAGGCAGCAGGGGGGAAUAUUGCACAAUGGGCGGAAGCCUGAUGCAGCAACGCCGCGUGCGGGAUGACGGCCUUCGGGGUGUAAACCGCUUUCGCCUGUGACGAAGCGUGAGUGACGGUAAUGGGUAAAGAAGCAACGGCUAACUACGUG